AAAAUGUGGCUACGUAUCACAGUGCUAUUCAUGUACUUCGUCCCCCUUUCCUCACUUUGCUUUCUACCUGAUAAUUUCAAAGUGUUUUUCUUAGUUUUAUUUCUAUCCAGCAGGUUGCUUUAUUUAUGGGCAAAGCCUAACGGUCUUUGUUUUUCCUGCAGCGUUUCUGCAGGCAAAGCUUGGGGAACAUAAAAGCCUGGGAUCUUGAGGCUGCUAUCAGUUUUUAUAUUAAAAAAUAAUGAUGUGGACAUCAUAAAAUCAAUACAUACUUUUUUUUUCUGAUUUAAGGGGGAAAAAAAGGGGGGGGGGGGGGGGGGCUUAACUGCACAGCAAGGAUUUGCCUCACCAAGCCUGGACUGUGUGAAAUAGAAUUGAUUAUUUGUCACUCUGGAUGCAUCAGAAGAAGGAUGGAGAUGUUUCUCCAAAUGUGACGGUUUCUUUUCAGUGCCAGGUGGGUGUGUGGUAGCAGUUCAAAGCCACGGAAAUCAGUGGAGAGGGGAGACUGAGCUUCCUGCAUGGGAAGAGCAAAAUCACAUUUAAAAACCUGCUUGAGCCGGCAGCUGCAGAAAAGCCAUCAAGAAUACAACCCUGGUAGUGAAGGAGAUCCCCGUGACUGAUUCUCUGAAAUGACUGCAUGGCUCCAGCUCAAGAAAAGCACCGACAUCCCUGUCUCACAGAUUGCUACCACCCAUUAUCGUACCGUACCACUAACUGGAAAGGGAGGUCAGUUCAAUACUGAUUUCCUGGCUGGGCAAUCACCGAUACGAAGCUCCGUUCCUCCCUGUAUAGGUAAAGAUGUCUCUGCUUCCCUUAGAUACGUGCAGAAAAGCCGAGUAGCUUAGCUCAGCUCCUGUGCCCUUUGAUACAAAGCCCGGUUCUGCACACCUAUUGAUUCGGUGCAAGGUGGGGAAGGGAAGUUAAAUCUCCAUCUUGGCCAAAAAGGGUUUUUCUGGAGUUAAGGAUGAAGCUGAGGGCUGCAGUCACAGCAUCUUGGUCAAAUGUGGGUUUUAAACCUGGGAGAAAGGUAAAAGGGCUCUUGGCUGGGUCAGUUUUAACUAAACAACCUCCCUAAAAUAUUAACGGUCAUUAAAUUAUGCUUUUGUUUGCUUCGGAGACAGCUUCCUACAGGACACGGCUGGGAAAGGUGCUGGCAAACAUCGCUGCUCCGAGUGCCUGUCUCGUGGAAACCAGAACUUGGGAAGAUCUCGAGAAGCCAUAUGGACCAUCCCUCAGCCCCGGGGCAGGAUCAGUGCUGGCUAAGACUGUUCCCAGCGUAUUUGCCCAACCUGUUCCGAAAACCUCAAGUGAUGCUGAGCCACCCGCCACCCUCUCUGACCGUGCAGCCUGGUGUUUGUACUCUGUCAAGAGGAGAGAUGUCCUCAUUUCACCAUCCUGGACCGUAUUUUAUUUAGUUUAAUCUAAAAUCUAAACCUGGUUUUGGGACCAGCUUGCUUCUCAGCCGUUUUCUUUUUUUUUUUUUUUUUUUUUUUUUAAUGUUGUUCUUUUUAGAUCCCAGACAGAAAUGCUGUUGAACAGUGAGUAAGGGGGUGAAGAUCCUAGUGCACCAGAAAUCCCCAGACUAUGUGUGAAGGCUCCCCUGUUUAUUUAAACUACCUGGCACCACUUAGAUGCCCAAGGUGCUUUCUGUGGGCGAAAAACAAUAGUAUCUAAUAUAGGGAAUGAGGCAAUGAGGUGCUCCAACUCCUACGAUGGCCUUGGCUGGAGCUUGGAAGCUGCUUUCUAGAAAUUGCCCAUGGGGAAAACAGAAAGCAGAUGUGUGGAGACCAAGGAUGGUCCCAUCUGAGAUCUUUCUAGGCCAAUGCACAGAGCGACUGGAGCAAAUCCCAAUUAUCAACGAGACGCUUUAUUCACUUUAAGAUGAUUUCCUGGGGACCAGAUUCAAGGGAGGAUGUAGCUUGUAAGCCUCUUCCUCUGAAGAGCAGCUGGGUCCUGGGUGAAUGGCCUUGGUUUUGCCCAUGGAAUGCAGAGAAGUAGGUGUUUCGCUGCUGAACAGGCACCUCUUAAAUCCCAAAACGCUCCUGGAGCAUCAGGAGCAGCCCUCCAUCCAGUCGGCUGCCUCGAGGCUGAGUGCUCGCCCAGGGAUUAUUUAAGCCUUUUCACCAUUUCAUCCAAGGGGGUGGCAAAGCCUCUCUGCCUCCCUGACCAGGUGGUGGAAGCGCCUGAAUGGGAAACUUAACCACCAGCCUCUAAUACAGGACCUGAACGCACCUACGAUGCUGUGAGGUGCUCCUACUGGGAAGUUUUUGGAGCUGAACUGACAGUGUCCAGGAAAGAUCAAUGUUGCAGAAAAAAAACCAGCCGAGGAGUUAGGCAUCUUCCAAGCUAUGCAGGCACGGAGCAGGAUGUUAUGGACAACAAAUUUGGACGUAAGCAUCCAAACAUGGAUUUUGAUGGACACGACACCCAAUUUCAUUAUUGAGUCUAACCCUGAGUAUAUCAUGUUGUUUCUUUUGCCAUGACCUGGAAUCAUGUGCUGGAAAUAUUCUUCCAGAGAUGAACUGCUGAUCCCUAUUUAUCCCAGCCAAUAAACCUGUAAAAAUAUGGA